GACGAACGCUGGCGGCGUGCUUAACACAUGCAAGUCGAACGGAAAGGCCCUGCUUUUGUGGGGUGCUCGAGGGGCGAACGGGUGAGUAACACGUGAGUAACCUGCCCUUGACUUUGGGAUAACUUCAGGAAACUGGGGCUAAUACCGGAUAGGAGCUCCUGCUGCAUGGUGGGGGUUGGAAAGUUUCGGCGGUUGGGGAUGGACUCGCGGCUUAUCAGCUUGUUGGUGGGGUAGUGGCUUACCAAGGCUUUGACGGGUAGCCGGCCGGGGAGGGUGACCGGCCACAUUGGGACUGCGAUACGGCCCAGACUCCUACGGGAGGCAGCAGUGGGGAAUAUUGCACAAUGGGCGGAAGCCUGAUGCAGCAACGCCGCGUGCGGGAUGACGGCCUUCGGGUUGUAAACCGCUUUCGCCUGUGACGAAGCGUGAGUGACGGUAAUGGGUAAAGAAGCACCGGCUAACUACGUG
rnacentral:rRNA from 1 species